AUGAACGCUGGCGGCGUGCCUAAUACAUGCAAGUCGAGCGAACGGACGAGAAGCUUGCUUCUCUGAUGUUAGCGGCGGACGGGUGAGCAACACGUGGAUAACCUACCUAUAAGACUGGGAUAACUUCGGGAAACCGUAGCUAAUACCGGAUAAUAUUUUGAACCGCAUGGUUCAAAAGUGAAAGACGGUCUUGCUGUCACUUAUAGAUGGAUCCGCGCUGCAUUAGCUAGUUGGUAAGGUAACGGCUUACCAAGGCAACGAUGCAUAGCCGACCUGAGAGGGUGAUCGGCCACACUGGAACUGAGACACGGUCCAGACUCCUACGGGAGGCAGCAGUAGGGAAUCUUCCGCAAUGGGCGAAAGCCUGACGGAGCAACGCCGCGUGAGUGAUGAAGGUCUUCGGGUCGUAAAACUCUGUUAUUAGGGAAGAACAUAUGUGUAAGUAACUGUGCACAUCUUGACGGUACCUAAUCAGAAAGCCACGGCUAACUACGUG
rnacentral:rRNA from 1 species